AGCGCGUCGUGCGGUCCGGCGCCGCCGCCGCGUUGCUCUCGGCAACGCGGGACGCGGGCCUGAUCGUCGUCGGGCGGCAUGCUUC
rnacentral:tRNA from 1 species